UGGGUAGCACACUGCCGGCUUCUGCGUGUGCAAAUCGGCAAUCCCCUUUUCAAUUUUGGCGUCCGGCCAACUGUUGCCGUUUCGUGCGCACUUCGCUACGUACGCACGACCUCGCGCACUGCGUACGUGGAUGGUUGAGGGCGCCGAACUAAAACUGUCUAGUUUCAUUGGUUCUGUGUAUGCAUCCUGAGUGAAGAUGAAAACGAUCAGCAACAUGGUGUCCGUGGAUGGCAGAGACGACGACCACGUUAUCGGCCAAGCGCAACUUGCCUAGCAUCGCUGCCGUUUGUUGCAGUGGAGUUCCCUCCUGGCUGGAACGAAAUCACAAAGUGCGUGCUCUCAGCGACUAUCUACUACACAAGGAAAGCGGCUCACGAAUGGAGUCAUGCCGGAACUUGGACCGCCAUAGAUAUCGCCGAUGGACAACGACUACGGCCUGAUUGCAUCAAGUCUUCCCAGUCAUCACCAUCGUCUACAGACCGUUCCCCAGGUUAUGCGACGACGCUUCUGCCUCGCCGCGGCGUGCUCAAUUACAGCGUUCCCGAGGUCGUCUGCUAAUUUGGAAUCCGGCACAUGCUGCUCACUAUCAUCAUCGUCACCAUCACCACCAUCAUCACGGUACUCGUAAGCAUUCAACAUUUUUUCAUUGCCUGCUGGAGGCAAACAAU